UACAGAGGGGGCAAGCGUUGUUCGGAAUUACUGGGCGUAAAGGGCGCGCAGGCGGCCCGCUAAGUCGAACGUGAAAUCCCCGAGCUCGACUCGGGAACUGCGUCCGAUACUGGCGGGCUUGAAUCCGGGAGAGGGAUGCGGAAUUUCAGGUGUAGCGGUGAAAUGCGUAGAUAUCUGGAGGAACACCGGUGGCGAAGGCGGCAUCCUGGACCGGCAUUGACGCUGAGGCGCGAAAGCUAGGGGAGCAAACGGG
rnacentral:rRNA from 1 species